rnacentral:ribozyme from 14 species
ACACACACACACAUAGACUCAAAAUAACAAGGGACAUAAAAAAAAAAAAGGCACAAGAGAGGGGAGGGAAAGACUGCCCCCUCCCCCUCUCGCAUUUCCCUUCUUCUUCUUCUUCUUCUUCACCGAGCGUUUCUUCUUC